GCUGAUGCGUUGUUGGGUAGGGGAGCGUUCUGUAAGCCUGCGAAGGUGACCUGUGAGGGUUGCUGGAGGUAUCAGAAGUGCGAAUGCUGACAUAAGUAACGAUAAAGCGGGUGAAAAGCCCGCUCGCCGGAAGACCAAGGGUUCCUGUCCAACGUUAAUCGGGGCAGGGUGAGUCGACCCCUAAGGCGAGGCCGAAAGGCGUAGUCGAUGGGAAACGGGUUAAUAUUCCCGUACUUGGUGUUACUGCGAAGGGGGGACGGAGAAGGCUAUGUUGGCCGGGCGACGGUUGUCCCGGUUUAAGCGUGUAGGUGUGUGUUCCAGGUAAAUCCGGUUCACUUUAACACUGAGGCGUGAUGACGAGGCACUACGGUGCUGAAGCAACAAAUGCCCUGCUUCCAGGAAAAGCCUCUAAGCAUCAGGUAACAUCAAAUCGUACCCCAAACCGACACAGGUGGUCAGGUAGAGAAUACCAAGGCGCUUGAGAGAACUCGGGUGAAGGAACUAGGCAAAAUGGUGCCGUAACUUCGGGAGAAGGCACGCUGACACGUAGGUGAAGUGAUUUACUCAUGGAGCUGAAGUCAGUCGAAGAUACCAGCUGGCUGCAACUGUUUAUUAAAAACACAGCACUGUGCAAACACGAAAGUGGACGUAUACGGUGUGACGCCUGCCCGGUGCCGGAAGGUUAAUUGAUGGGGUCAGCGCAAGCGAAGCUCCUGAUCGAAGCCCCGGUAAACGGCGGCCGUAACUAUAACGGUCCUAAGGUAGCGAAAUUCCUUGUCGGGUAAGUUCCGACCUGCACGAAUGGCGUAAUGAUGGCCAGGCUGUCUCCACCCGAGACUCAGUGAAAUUGAACUCGCUGUGAAGAUGCAGUGUACCCGCGGCAAGACGGAAAGACCCCGUGAACCUUUACUAUAGCUUGACACUGAACAUUGAGCCUUGAUGUGUAGGAUAGGUGGGAGGCUUUGAAGUGUGGACGCCAGUCUGCAUGGAGCCGACCUUGAAAUACCACCCUUUAAUGUUUGAUGUUCUAACGUGGACCCGUAAUCCGGGUUGCGGACAGUGUCUGGUGGGUAGUUUGACUGGGGCGGUCUCCUCCUAAAGAGUAACGGAGGAGCACGAAGGUUGGCUAAUCCUGGUCGGACAUCAGGAGGUUAGUGCAAUGGCAUAAGCCAGCUUGACUGCGAGCGUGACGGCGCGAGCAGGUGCGAAAGCAGGUCAUAGUGAUCCGGUGGUUCUGAAUGGAAGGGCCAUCGCUCAACGGAUAAAAGGUACUCCGGGGAUAACAGGCUGAUACCGCCCAAGAGUUCAUAUCGACGGCGGUGUUUGGCACCUCGAUGUCGGCUCAUCACAUCCUGGGGCUGAAGUAGGUCCCAAGGGUAUGGCUGUUCGCCAUUUAAAGUGGUACGCGAGCUGGGUUUAGAACGUCGUGAGACAGUUCGGUCCCUAUCUGCCGUGGGCGCUGGAGAACUGAGGGGGGCUGCUCCUAGUACGAGAGGACCGGAGUGGACGCAUCACUGGUGUUCGGGUUGUCAUGCCAAUGGCACUGCCCGGUAGCUAAAUGCGGAAGAGAUAAGUGCUGAAAGCAUCUAAGCACGAAACUUGCCCCGAGAUGAGUUCUCCCUGAGACUUAGAGUCUCCUGAAGGAACGUUGAAGACGACGACGUUGAUAGGCCGGGUGUGUAAGCGCAGCGAUGCGUUGAGCUAACCGGUACUAAUGAACCGUGAGGCUUAACCUU
rnacentral:rRNA from 1 species